AAGAUACAAUGGGCACUAUGGAGAAGGUGUGUUUGUGAUUGCCAACUUCCUCUCGUCGUUCCCUUUCAUGGUGAUCAUCACUGUAUCGUCUGGAACUAUAGUCUAUUACAUGGUGAAAUUUCAUCUGGGAUUCUCCAUCUAUUGCCAUUUCUGCAUCAAUCUCUUCUGUUGCAUUUCUAUCAUGGAGACUAUCGCAAUGAUUGUUGCAUUACUUGUGAAUAAUUUCUUGACGGGCAUUGGAGUUUCAGCUGCUGUAAUUAUGGUUUUGACAAUUGCAUCUGGACUCUAUAGGCCACUGGCUUAUCUUCCCAAGUUCUUUUGGCAAUACCCCAUGAGCUAUAUCAGCUUUACGACAUGGGCUGUAGAGGGUCAAUACAAAAAUGAUAUGAUUGGACUCGAAUUCGAAUCAUGGCUGCCUGGAGAACCAAAGCUAAAGGGCGAGAAAAUCCUUAAGACUGAUCUAGGUAUCAAAUCAAACCACUCCAAGUGGUGGGAUUUGACUGCUCUCUUCUUCAUAUUUUUGUGUCACAGGGUUGUUUUCUUUAUGGUACUAAAAUACAAGGACAGAGCAGUAUUGCUAUUGCACAGGCUCUUUGCCAAACAGAGUUUAGAACCCCUACGCAAAACGAUUUCAGAUUCUUUUAGAAGGGAAAAAUAUACCUCCUCUAAGAGACACCAACCCCUCCAUCCAUUGUCUUCUCAAGAA
rnacentral:misc_RNA from 1 species